rnacentral:lncRNA from 1 species
UCAAGAUAAUGCAAAACCACUGGAAAUAUAUUGAGAUAAAACAAUAUUUUAUCAGUGUACCGUAAACUAGAAUAUUAAGAUGGCCAAUAUUUUCUAAGAAAGAGCCCACUGUAGCUGAAACAAGAAAGUUUAUUUAUUUAUUUAUUUUGUCUACAGUUACAAGACAGUGACUCAUUUCAAUUUUGUCUGCCUUCUAAGAUAACCUAGUUUUGUCUGGUUUCCACCUCUCUCGGAUUAACUUCCUAAGGAACAGAAAUCAUAUCAUGUAAUGUACGUGAUGAACCAAAACUCAAUAUAACUCUUUUUUAUUGGGCAACUGCAAAACUGCUUACAGUCAACUAAUACAGUAAGAAACCAGAGACAAAGAAAUGGACACAUUCUGGAAAAGCAAAAAAAAAAAAAAAAAGUUUUGACAACUUAUUUCAUAGAGAAUAUUUGCUUAGCUUUAUAGCUUUACAUUAAGAUAUUAAUUAAUUUAAUAAAUUAGUAAAUAAGACAAAGAUUUGAUUACUGUAAUCAUAACGAGGCAUUGUGUCAUUAAAAGAAAAAAAAAAAAGGCACAUCAAUUUUAAAAUGGUAAAAAUAAAAAAAUAAAUCUUAGCUCUGAUCUCAAAUCCAGCCUAAUUUAAUGUUAAUUUAAUUGAAUUUGACCAAGAAAGUGCAUACUUACCUGUGUUACAUCUGUGCCAAUUAACCUUGGUUAACACGUCGAGUUAGAAUCUUAUACUUAAGAAAUUUCAUACUGAAGACUACUCCUAGUUGAUUUGAUGGUACACAGGUAUAUGAUGAUCAGGGUUGCCAUGCCACAAUUAGCAGAUGUGAAAAUAGAUAGAUUUUCAUCAUGGUACCAAAAUUUUGUUGUGUCAAGAAAUUUGUUGAGCUUGUUAUUUGAAAUUAUGAACUUUAUUUUAAUUAUUUUAAAAAUUCUCUCAAAAUGAUGAUUUCUGAAUUUUGGAACAAUAUGGAAAAACUACAGGGUCACAUUAAAUAUUUUACCUUUUUAGGAUCAAUAUAUAAUAAAUAUAUAUAUAUAUUUAAAACGUUUUUGACU